GGCGCCCUGGAGCUCAGGGGCCCAAUGUGCUCUCAAUGACCUCCACGGGCAUUUUUCAACCGUAGGUCUUUGGCUGCCGCAUCUUUCCAAACCCUAGUCGACCUUUAUUUACCUUGCAUUGUAAAAUUGCUGUUCACCCGAAGGAGUAGUGAGUCAUGAGGCAGCUGACGCCAGCAAGUUCUACCUUGAGCAUCAAGUACGAGUAGAAAGAUGAGCACCGGGAUAAGAUUUUUGCUUCAAAACACAUCGAGUAUUGAAUUCAUUGAGUUUUGAAGCUUUCAAAUACCAAGCCGAAAUUUGCAAGGAUGGAAUCAGGAAAGCUGACUCAGAGUGAAUUAAGACUUGCAACGAACGCAAACAACAACAACAACAACAAAAAGUUUCAGUAAGGAACAAGAAAAAGGUCAAGGAAAUAACUGGGCUACUAAUGGGAGAAGAUGGCAAGAAGGCAGCAAGAAGAAAGUAGAACUGCUUAAUUUCUUCUUUGCCUCUAUCUUCGUAUAAAAGGAAAAAAUAAUCCAACCUAACAAAAGCAACACCGUGGAGAUAGAACAGGAAUGCAGAUCAAAAUAGGCAAGAAAUUGGAAAGAAAACACUAUCUACUCUAGACAAGUUCAAAUUGUCAGGAACAGAUGGUUUAAUCUGAGGUUCCGAAAGAGAUGUGAUCUUGAAACCACUGAAUGAAAUCUUUCAGUACUCCUGGAACAUGAGGGAAUUGCCAGAGGACUGGAAAAAGCUGAUAUGGUUCCAACCUACAAAAAAGGGGGAAAGUCGAUCCAGGAAACUAAAGACCAAUCAGCUUGACAUCAAUACCCAAGAAAAUCCUAGAACAGAUGAUCAAGCAGUGAAUUUGUGAGCAUCAAGAAAUGAACAAGGUGAUUAUCAGAGGCCAGCAUGGGUUUGUUAAAAAGAGAUCACUCCAGACAAACUUUAUUGUCUUCUUUGAUAAAGUGACUAAAUUAAUGGAUCAGUGAAACAUUGUGGAUAUAGUAUACUUAGAGAAUACUAUAGUAAGGCAUUUGAAAAAUAGACCAUUGUAGAGAACUUCUUGGUAAAACAGAAAAAUGUGAGAUAGAAAGUACCACCACCAGAUGAAUUUGCAGUUAAGUGACUAACCACACUCCUUAUGUAUUCCUGAAUGAAACUAUUUCUACAUGGAAAGAAGCAUGCAAUGGGGUACCUUAGGUUCUGUUUUGUGGCCAGUAGUCUCCAACAUCUUCGUUAAAUGAUCUAGAUGAGCAGAUAGAAAGGGAGCUCACCAGAUCUGCAGGUGACACCAAGCUGGGGGGAAUUGCUAACGCUUUGCUAGGACUUUGGAUUCAAGAUUCAGUAGGAUCUUGAUAGACUUGACACUGGACCCUAGCCAACAUGCAGUUCAGUGGUGAGAAAAGUAAGGUGCCUGCCCUUAGGCAGGAAAAACCAAAUGCAGAAGUACUGAGUAGGGUGUACCUGACUCAAUAGUAGAAAUUAUGAGAGGGAUCUAGGUGUCUUAGUGGACCACCAAUUAAGCAGGAACUAGCAGUGUGCUGCAGCUGCCAAAAAAGCCAAUGCAGUCUAGGCUACACCAACAGAGAGAUAAUAUCAAGAUCACGAGAAGUGAUAGUAUUGCUUUACACUGUAAUAGUGAAGUCAUACUUGGAUUGGUGCAUCGAAUUCUGAUCACCACAAUACAAAAGACUCUAGAUAGCAUGCAGAGAAGAGCAACAAGAUGGUAAGGGGGCUGCAGGAUAUGAUAAAAGGAAUGAUUAAGGGAAUUAGGUAUGUCUAGCCUAAUGAAGAGAAGAAUUAGGGAUGAUAUGAUAACUCUUUUGGAGAGCCACGGAGAAGAGGGGGUUGACUUAUUCCACAAAGCACUUGAGGAAAGGACAAGAAACAAUGGGCGGAAGCUUGUUAACAAGAGAGCCAACCUGGAACUAAGGAGAAAUUUCCCGAUAGUGAGAACAAUUAACUAACGGAAUAGCUUACCUCCUUGGGUUGUGGGUGGGUUAUCACUGGAGGUUUUCAAGAAAAAAAUGGACAAUCAUUUGUCUGGGAUGAUAGGAUGAUAUAAGGUCUCCUGCCUUGAGCAGGGGUUGGACUUUAAGACCUCCAAAAUCUCUUCCAGCCCUAUAAUUGUAUGUCUUCUAUGACAGCCUUAUUUUUUGCUGAGCUGAUAUAUUAUUUUCUGAGCCUUUCUUUCUAUGAAAAAAAUCCAUUAUAAUUAUUUAAAAGUGUAACAACACCUGGGAAAAACAGCUUCAAAAUGGAAAAGCCUCAACAAUUUACUGAACAGGCUGGUUGGAAUGUCCUGGGGUGCUGAGGCUAACACCCUUUGUAGAACAGCCUUGGUUUUGAUUUAUUUCACAGCUGAAUAUUGUGACAGCAUGUGGCUUAACAGCACCCACACCAAAUGGUCAAUGUUCAACUUCACCAGACAAUCCAUAUCUCCUCUUGUACAUUAUAUCUCACUUCUGUGCACUGGUUACCAGUUCUUAGCAAUAUCAUACCAUCCCACAUUAGAAGGUAACAAGCUCUCAUUUGGCUAUGGUCAAAGAUGCUGAACAACAAGGCCCUCCCUAUUUACCAGGACAAUAUAUAUCCCAUCACAAGAUUGAAAUCUUGUAGACCAGCAUGGAAAACAGCUAUUAACAUCCACCAAGUUAAACCCUCCUGGAGAGAGGAAUGGUCCAAGAUACCUUCUUGUUGCCUGACCAUUAGUGAUCCCUUUACCAAACUACCCAGUUUUGACCUGCCUCACUGUCAAAAUUGAACAGAAUUAGGUGUGAUACUGGAAGAAACGCCUCUGCCCUGUAUCAAUGGGGAUGUAAAGAUUCUCCUUGUUCUUGUGAUGCUGAUAUGCAAACUGUUAAAUGCCCACAGUGUGCAUUCCCUGGUUCCCUAGAAGAUCUGCACAAUGCAGCACCAGAGGUGAUCGCCUGUAUAGCUGAAUUGGAUGUCCAGUUAUAAGGCCACUGCCAUACCCCCAUUGAAGCUUUUUAUAUAAUUACAUAGAUUAUGUGUAUAUGUUUACUUAUCUUCUAUCACCACAUCAUACACUAAAUAAAUGAUUAUUAUGUAUAAUUAUUCCAAGCCUUAUGGGCUUGCCUGUCUACCGUUUUACUCAAACAUUUAUAAUGCUCUGGCAGUUCAAGUCAUAUUUUGUCAAGGGCGCAAAGAACUAGUUCCAAGAUAUAUAAAAUGGUUAUCUAAAAUGUGUUCUUUUAACAACUUGAGCCUAAUGUGCCUCUUCCAUUCAGUUAAAAUGCAUUGAGCUAACUUGGCUUGCUUUUUUUUCCUUUGUGAUGACUUGCUGGAAGAGCAAACAAAACUAGGUCCAGACCAGUGGUGAUUUAACUGCAGAGCAAAGGUCAGUUUUGCCUGGUUUUGCAAUUUCCAAUUAUCUUCUGCACAAAUUCUUGUGAUGCUAUAGACAUGAAAACACUAGCUAAAGUCAUGCCUCAGGCUAGAUAGAGAGAUGUUACUGUCCUACAUUUGCUCCAAUAGUGUUGUGGUCCGUCAGCAGCCUACGGUGCUGGUGGCAGAAUCGGACAGUGAUGAGGCGGAGGUGAGGCCAGGGCCAUCGAGAAAUGGGGUGUGGACUCCAGACCCUCCAGGGCCUGAGAGUAGUGAGAGUGAGGUGCGGACUCCAGAGCCUCCAGAGGCCGAGAGUAGCGAGGAGGAGGAGGAACUGGGAGAGCCUGUCCCUAAUGUCCGAAUGAGAAGAGUUGCCAAGAGGCAGGAGCAGCUCAAGCAGAGAGGUCACCUCGGGGGUAGGGCCAAGAGAUAAUUGGCCCCUCCCAUAAGGUUUAAAAGAAGACCGGCAUCGGUGUCUCAGUUUGCUGGAAAACAACGCUGGAGCUGCGCUCGUCCCAUUCUCUGCUCUGGAUGUUUCUCCGAGAAGACCUUGGCAGCUCUCCAUUCUCUGCUUGAGACGCUUAUCUGCAAAGGACUUUGGCAAUUAUCUAAAUUGGACCAGGUUGGAAAUAAUGACAAACUGUUUUGUGUAAGAAGCCUUUGCUUUCUUUUGAGUUUCACAACGCUGUGAAUGGGUCAAUUCCCAGCUGCUUGAAUAAAGUUUAUUUUCAUUAAGGACUGCGUUUGUUGCUAUUUGCUCAAGUCUGGGUCACAACAAAUAGUACAUAGGGAUUCCAUCAAGAUAUUUAAAUCUAAUUGAUUUAAAAUUAAAUUAAAAUAAAUUAUGAGGGAAUAAUAUUAAGACUUCAAACCAAAGCAUGCUUACAAUGAUAUAAGUUAAUGAUGAGACCAAGUUAAAGCAAGACUUCAGCACAUGUACUAUUUGGCCAUUCAGUACGAUUGCUUAAUUUUUGAGGAAGAAUAAAUUUAUUCAAGUAGUUCCCAGAUAAUUCUUUCAUAAAGAGAAGGAAGUCAAAAACACCUAUCACUAGGUGGAGCUUUCUUUGGACUUUACAGUACAUAUGGCCCAACAGAAU